rnacentral:rRNA from 1 species
UACAGGGGGGUGCAAACGUUGCUCGGGAAUCAUUGGGCGUAAAGCGCACGUAGGCGGUUCGUUAUGUCGGAUGUGAAAGCCCUUGGCUUAACCGAGGAAGUGCAUCCGAAACUGGCGAGCUAGAGUACUAAAGAGGAUCGCGGAAUUCCCGGUGUAGAGGUGAAAUUCGUAGAUAUCGGGAGGAACACCGGUGGCGAAGGCGGCGAUCUGGGUAGAUACUGACGCUGAGGUGCGAAAGCGUGGGGAGCAAACAGG